AGCGUACUGGAAAGUGCGCUUGGAUCAA
rnacentral:rRNA from 1 species